GGGUUGUGAGGUUAAGCGACUAAGCGUACACGGUGGAUGCCCUGGCAGUCAGAGGCGAUGAAGGACGUGCUAAUCUGCGAUAAGCGUCGGUAAGGUGAUAUGAACCGUUAUAACCGGCGAUUUCCGAAUGGGGAAACCCAGUGUGAUUCGUCACACUAUCAUUAACUGAAUCCAUAGGUUAAUGAGGCGAACCGGGGGAACUGAAACAUCUAAGUACCCCGAGGAAAAGAAAUCAACCGAGAUUCCCCCAGUAGCGGCGAGCGAACGGGGAGCAGCCCAGAGCCUGAAUCAGUGUGUGUGUUAGUGGAAGCGUCUGGAAAGGCGCGCGAUACAGGGUGACAGCCCCGUACACAAAAAUGCACAUGCUGUGAGCUCGAUGAGUAGGGCGGGACACGUGGUAUCCUGUCUGAAUAUGGGGGGACCAUCCUCCAAGGCUAAAUACUCCUGACUGACCGAUAGUGAACCAGUACCGUGAGGGAAAGGCGAAAAGAACCCCGGCGAGGGGAGUGAAAAAGAACCUGAAACCGUGUACGUACAAGCAGUGGGAGCACGCUUAGGCGUGUGACUGCGUACCUUUUGUAUAAUGGGUCAGCGACUUAUAUUCUGUAGCAAGGUUAACCGAAUAGGGGAGCCGAAGGGAAACCGAGUCUUAACUGGGCGUUAAGUUGCAGGGUAUAGACCCGAAACCCGGUGAUCUAGCCAUGGGCAGGUUGAAGGUUGGGUAACACUAACUGGAGGACCGAACCGACUAAUGUUGAAAAAUUAGCGGAUGACUUGUGGCUGGGGGUGAAAGGCCAAUCAAACCGGGAGAUAGCUGGUUCUCCCCGAAAGCUAUUUAGGUAGCGCCUCGUGAAUUCAUCUCCGGGGGUAGAGCACUGUUUCGGCAAGGGGGUCAUCCCGACUUACCAACCCGAUGCAAACUGCGAAUACCGGAGAAUGUUAUCACGGGAGACACACGGCGGGUGCUAACGUCCGUCGUGAAGAGGGAAACAACCCAGACCGCCAGCUAAGGUCCCAAAGUCAUGGUUAAGUGGGAAACGAUGUGGGAAGGCCCAGACAGCCAGGAUGUUGGCUUAGAAGCAGCCAUCAUUUAAAGAAAGCGUAAUAGCUCACUGGUCGAGUCGGCCUGCGCGGAAGAUGUAACGGGGCUAAACCAUGCACCGAAGCUGCGGCAGCGACGCUGAUGCGUUGUUGGGUAGGGGAGCGUUCUGUAAGCCUGUGAAGGUGUGCUGUGAGGCAUGCUGGAGGUAUCAGAAGUGCGAAUGCUGACAUAAGUAACGAUAAAGCGGGUGAAAAGCCCGCUCGCCGGAAGACCAAGGGUUCCUGUCCAACGUUAAUCGGGGCAGGGUGAGUCGACCCCUAAGGCGAGGCCGAAAGGCGUAGUCGAUGGGAAACAGGUUAAUAUUCCUGUACUUGGUGUUACUGCGAAGGGGGGACGGAGAAGGCUAUGUUGGCCGGGCGACGGUUGUCCCGGUUUAAGCGUGUAGGCUGGUUUUCCAGGCAAAUCCGGAAAAUCAAGGCUGAGGCGUGAUGACGAGGCACUACGGUGCUGAAGCAACAAAUGCCCUGCUUCCAGGAAAAGCCUCUAAGCAUCAGGUAACAUCAAAUCGUACCCCAAACCGACACAGGUGGUCAGGUAGAGAAUACCAAGGCGCUUGAGAGAACUCGGGUGAAGGAACUAGGCAAAAUGGUGCCGUAACUUCGGGAGAAGGCACGCUGAUAUGUAGGUGAAGCGACUUGCUCGUGGAGCUGAAAUCAGUCGAAGAUACCAGCUGGCUGCAACUGUUUAUUAAAAACACAGCACUGUGCAAACACGAAAGUGGACGUAUACGGUGUGACGCCUGCCCGGUGCCGGAAGGUUAAUUGAUGGGGUCAGCGCAAGCGAAGCUCUUGAUCGAAGCCCCGGUAAACGGCGGCCGUAACUAUAACGGUCCUAAGGUAGCGAAAUUCCUUGUCGGGUAAGUUCCGACCUGCACGAAUGGCGUAAUGAUGGCCAGGCUGUCUCCACCCGAGACUCAGUGAAAUUGAACUCGCUGUGAAGAUGCAGUGUACCCGCGGCAAGACGGAAAGACCCCGUGAACCUUUACUAUAGCUUGACACUGAACAUUGAGCCUUGAUGUGUAGGAUAGGUGGGAGGCUUUGAAGUGUGGACGCCAGUCUGCAUGGAGCCGACCUUGAAAUACCACCCUUUAAUGUUUGAUGUUCUAACGUUGACCCGUAAUCCGGGUUGCGGACAGUGUCUGGUGGGUAGUUUGACUGGGGCGGUCUCCUCCUAAAGAGUAACGGAGGAGCACGAAGGUUGGCUAAUCCUGGUCGGACAUCAGGAGGUUAGUGCAAUGGCAUAAGCCAGCUUGACUGCGAGCGUGACGGCGCGAGCAGGUGCGAAAGCAGGUCAUAGUGAUCCGGUGGUUCUGAAUGGAAGGGCCAUCGCUCAACGGAUAAAAGGUACUCCGGGGAUAACAGGCUGAUACCGCCCAAGAGUUCAUAUCGACGGCGGUGUUUGGCACCUCGAUGUCGGCUCAUCACAUCCUGGGGCUGAAGUAGGUCCCAAGGGUAUGGCUGUUCGCCAUUUAAAGUGGUACGCGAGCUGGGUUUAGAACGUCGUGAGACAGUUCGGUCCCUAUCUGCCGUGGGCGCUGGAGAACUGAGGGGGGCUGCUCCUAGUACGAGAGGACCGGAGUGGACGCAUCACUGGUGUUCGGGUUGUCAUGCCAAUGGCACUGCCCGGUAGCUAAAUGCGGAAGAGAUAAGUGCUGAAAGCAUCUAAGCACGAAACUUGCCCCGAGAUGAGUUCUCCCUGACUCCUUGAGAGUCCUGAAGGAACGUUGAAGACGACGACGUUGAUAGGCCGGGUGUGUAAGCGCAGCGAUGCGUUGAGCUAACCGGUACUAAUGAACCGUGAGGCUUAACCUUACAACGCCGAAGCUGUU
rnacentral:rRNA from 3 species